AACGAACGCUGGCGGCAUGCCUAACACAUGCAAGUCGAACGAGAUCUUCGGGUCUAGUGGCGCACGGGUGCGUAACGCGUGGGACUCUGCCCUUUGGUUCGGAAUAACAGUUGGAAACGACUGCUAAUACCGGAUGAUGACGAAAGUCCAAAGAUUUAUCGCCAGAGGAUGAGCCCGCGUAGGAUUAGCUAGUUGGUGUGGUAAAGGCGCCCCAAGGCGACGAUCCUUAGCUGGUCUGAGAGGAUGAUCAGCCACACUGGGACUGAGACACGGCCCAGACUCCUACGGGAGGCAGCAGUGGGGAAUAUUGGACAAUGGGCGAAAGCCUGAUUCAGCAAUGCCGCGUGAGUGAUGAAGGCCUUAGGGUUGUAAAGCUCUUUUACCCGGGAUGAUAAUGACAGUACCGGGAGAAUAAGCUCCGGCUAACUCCGUGCCAGCCGCCGCGGUAA
rnacentral:rRNA from 1 species